CUCUUGGGUUGUAAACCUCUUUUCUCAGGGAAGAAGCUCAUGACGGUACCUGAGGAAUCAGCCUCGGCUAACUCCGUGCCAGCAGCCGCGGUAAUACGGAGGAGGCAAGCGUUAUCCGGAAUUAUUGGGCGUAAAGCGUCCGCAGGUGGCGAUUCAAGUCUGCUGUCAAAGCGCGGGGCUUAACUCCGUUAAGGCAGUGGAAACUGAAUGGCUAGAGUGCCGUAGGGGUAGAGGGAAUUCCCGGUGUAGCGGUGAAAUGCGUAGAGAUCGGGAAGAACAUCGGUGGCCAAAGCGCCAGCUUUACGCCCAAUAA
rnacentral:rRNA from 1 species